UACGAAGGGGGCUAGCGUUGCUCGGAAUUACUGGGCGUAAAGCGCACGUAGGCGGUCUUUUAAGUCGGGGGUGAAAUCCUGGAGCUCAACUCCAGAACUGCCUUCGAUACUGGAAGACUUGAGUCCGGGAGAGGUGAGUGGAACUGCGAGUGUAGAGGUGAAAUUCGUAGAUAUUGGGAAGAACACCGGUGGCGAAGGCGGCUCUCUGGACCGAUACUGACGCUGAGGCGGCGAAAAGUG
rnacentral:rRNA from 1 species